rnacentral:rRNA from 1 species
GUACGGGGGGAGCAAACGUUUGUUCGGAAUCACUGGGCGUAAAGGGCGUGUAGGCGGCUGGAUAAGUGGGAUGUUAAAUCCCCCGGCUCAACCGGGGACCUGCAUCUCAUACUGUUCAGCUCGAGCACAUCAGAGGAGACUGGAAUUCCCGGUGUAGCGGUGAAAUGCGCAGAUAUCAGGAGGAACACCGGUGGCGAAAGCGGCUCUCUGGCCCGGAUCUGACGCUGAGGCGCGAAAGCGUGGGGAGCAAACAGG